AUUGAACGCUGGCGGCAUGCCUUACACAUGCAAGUCGAACGGCAGCACGGAGCUUGCUCUGGUGGCGAGUGGCGAACGGGUGAGUAAUAUAUCGGAACGUACCCUAGAGUGGGGGAUAACGUAGCGAAAGUUACGCUAAUACCGCAUACGAUCUAAGGAUGAAAGUGGGGGAUCGCAAGACCUCAUGCCCGUGGAGCGGCCGAUAUCUGAUUAGCUAGUUGGUAGGGUAAAAGCCUACCAAGGCAUCGAUCAGUAACUGGUCUGAGAGGACGACCAGCCACACUGGAACUGAGACACGGUCCAGACUCCUACGGGAGGCAGCAGUGGGGAAUUUUGGACAAUGGGCGAAAGCCUGAUCCAGCAAUGCCGCGUGAGUGAAGAAGGCCUUCGGGUUGUAAAGCUCUUUUGUCAGGGAAGAAACGGUGAAAGCUAAUAUCUUUUGCUAAUGACGGUACCUGAAGAAUAAGCACCGGCUAACUACGUGCCAGCAGCCGCGGUAAUACGUAGGGUGCAAGCGCUAAUCGGAAUUACUGGGCGUAAAGCGUGCGCAGGCGGUUUUGUAAGUCUGAUGUGAAAUCCCCGGGCUCAACCUGGGAAUUGCAUUGGAGACUGCAAGGCUAGAAUCUGGCAGAGGGGGGUAGAAUUCCACGUGUAGCAGUGAAAUGCGUAGAUAUGUGGAGGAACACCGAUGGCGAAGGCAGCCCCCUGGGUCAAGAUUGACGCUCAUGCACGAAAGCGUGGGGAGCAAACAGGAUUAGAUACCCUGGUAGUCCACGCCCUAAACGAUGUCUACUAGUUGUCGGGUCUUAAUUGACUUGGUAACGCAGCUAACGCGUGAAGUAGACCGCCUGGGGAGUACGGUCGCAAGAUUAAAACUCAAAGGAAUUGACGGGGACCCGCACAAGCGGUGGAUGAUGUGGAUUAAUUCGAUGCAACGCGAAAAACCUUACCUACCCUUGACAUGGCUGGAAUCCUUGAGAGAUCAGGGAGUGCUCGAAAGAGAACCAGUACACAGGUGCUGCAUGGCUGUCGUCAGCUCGUGUCGUGAGAUGUUGGGUUAAGUCCCGCAACGAGCGCAACCCUUGUCAUUAGUUGCUACGAAAGGGCACUCUAAUGAGACUGCCGGUGACAAACCGGAGGAAGGUGGGGAUGACGUCAAGUCCUCAUGGCCCUUAUGGGUAGGGCUUCACACGUCAUACAAUGGUACAUACAGAGCGCCGCCAACCCGCGAGGGGGAGCUAAUCGCAGAAAGUGUAUCGUAGUCCGGAUUGUAGUCUGCAACUCGACUGCAUGAAGUUGGAAUCGCUAGUAAUCGCGGAUCAGCAUGUCGCGGUGAAUACGUUCCCGGGUCU
rnacentral:rRNA from 1 species